GGAAAAGCCGUGAAGGGAAUCAGUAGUUCGCUGUCUUUGCUUUCAGAGAGUCGGUGGAUGGUGCAAACCGAUACAUGCAGUUGAACGAAUUACCUCCCGGAGCUUUUGCCGUGAAAAGGAGAGUAGCGGCAAACGGUCUAAACCGUUAGCAAUCAAUGAGUGGAGAAGCAAUUCUCAAUUUGGGUGGUACCGCGCGAACAGCGUCCCUGCU
rnacentral:ncRNA from 1 species